rnacentral:rRNA from 1 species
AGAGUUUGAUCCUGGCUCAGGACGAACGCUUGCGGCGUGCCUAAGAAAUGCAAGUCGAGCGGGGUGUAGCAAUACACCUAGCGGCGAACGGUCGCGUAACACGUAAGCAACCUGCCGGAAAGACCGGGACAACCGCCCGAAAGGGCAGCUAAUACCGGAUGUGGCCCUCAUCUCGCAUGGGGAGAGGACUAAAUCGAGCA